UACGGAGGGUGCGAGCGUUGUCCGGAAUCAUUGGGCGUAAAGGGCUCGUAGGCGGUUUGUCGCGUCGGGAGUGAAAACCCAGGGCUUAACCCUGGGCUGGCUUCCGAUACGGGCAGACUAGAGGUAUGCAGGGGAGAACGGAAUUCCUGGUGUAGCGGUGAAAUGCGCAGAUAUCAGGAGGAACACCGGUGGCGAAGGCGGUUCUCUGGGACGGUACUGACGCUGAGACGCGAAAGCGUGGGGAGCGAACAGG
rnacentral:rRNA from 1 species